CCGAUUUUUCAAUAGUUUGAAAC
rnacentral:miRNA from 1 species